rnacentral:lncRNA from 1 species
CCAACUGACUUCAAUUAUAUGUAGAACCAUCCAAAAGUCUCCUCUCAGGCAUUAAGGAACAUGAACGCUUUUAAGGGAUUUCCAAACUGGAAAUAACCAACACAACUAGGUCAAGCAUCCAUCAUGCACCAUGUACACCACAGUGCACCACAGCUGAGACCAGUGUGGAUCCCACCAUCAGCAGCUUUUCCAAAGGACCCAGGCAAAAUGUGUGGUGUUUCUGAGGGCAUCCUCUUCCACAUUUUUAGCGUAAUCUACCUCGACACACAGAUGCAAUGCUCACAGAGGCCAGAACGCUUCCCAGAAGCAGCCAAGGUAUUAACUUUGGGAUCCUGAAUUUCAACCAAAGAAAACAGGACUGAGUGAAGCCUGAAAUCUUGAGGCAGUAAAAUACAGAAAGGCAAGUGGCAAACCAUAGGCUGAUAGAGCUAAAAAACAUCCAAAGGAACAUCAUUGCUGCACCAUAAAUUAUUUUGACGUAAAGGAGUGGAAAGAACACAGAGAAAAAACUUUGUACCAUUAACACCAUCUGCAGACCAAAUCUAGACAUCCCUAUGCACAUUAAGAGGAUUUGAAUUGGCAUUAGCUUUCUAUGUUUGAUCAAUUCAUUACAGUUAACAAUGAUAAGAAAUCCAUUUACUGUGAUCCCUGUGAAGAAUUCUGCUGACAUCAUGAUAAUAUGAAGAAUAGCUGAAAAAGACAAGGCCAUGUUUUCUAAGUAAGACAAGUCUUAGCUUUUCCUUGUAGAUGGUCCUGAAUACUUCCUCCAGAUGAUCUUGCAAAUGGGAACAUACAGCACCGAGAAGUCUCAACUUCUGCCAGCUUCUGUAUCAUGGGUAGAGCCUUACACUAGCUUUUCCUCUAAGGAAGAAAAUCAGAGACUACUUUUUGAAUCUGGUGCUCUUCAGAUGAAACUGGAGCAAUGCAAAUCUGAAGAUAUGAAUGAUGGCUAGGUCUUCCAAUUACAUCCUGAGAAAAAUUGCUCCCUUGGCACCAUUCCAUUCUCACUCUUGCUCAAUUUUGAAAAAAAAAAAUCUGAUUGCAAGUAUGUUUUGCUUUGGUUAUUGAUGUUUUGUUUUUGUCUUUUAUUUUUUCCUAAUGCUAAAUGCUGCAUCCUGAAGACAGAUACUUAUUUCCUAUUACUGCCACAAAUAUCCAGUCUCAAAGAUAGCUCUUUCCCCGGCACACUGUUUGACUUAUAAUAAUUUCAAGACACUUUAAUAAAAUUUCCCCUCCCCAUAUCCUAUCCCUACUAAAGGCAAUUUCCUUUCCAGACUUGAAAAUCAGUUCCUGGAAUAUAACUUUUUAAUAAAAAUCUUCC